GACGAACGCUGGCGGCGUGCCUAAUACAUGCAAGUAGAACGCACAGUUUAUACCGUAGCUUGCUACACCAUAGACUGUGAGUUGCGAACGGGUGAGUAACGCGUAGGUAACCUGCCUGGUAGCGGGGGAUAACUAUUGGAAACGAUAGCUAAUACCGCAUAAUAUUAAUUAUUGCAUGAUAAUUGAUUAAAAGGUGCAAUUGCACCACUACCAGAUGGACCUGCGUUGUAUUAGCUAGUAGGUGAGGUAACGGCUCACCUAGGCGACGAUACAUAGCCGACCUGAGAGGGUGAUCGGCCACACUGGGACUGAGACACGGCCCAGACUCCUACGGGAGGCAGCAGUAGGGAAUCUUCGGCAAUGGACGAAAGUCUGACCGAGCAACGCCGCGUGAGUGAAGAAGGUUUUCGGAUCGUAAAGCUCUGUUGUAAGAGAAGAACGGGUGUGAGAGGGAAAGUUCACACUGUGACGG
rnacentral:rRNA from 1 species